AACGCACGAGACCUGCGGACCUGCGGAAGGAUCAUUACCGAGUUCUCGCCCCUCGCGGGGUAGACCUCCCACCCACUGUGAUCACUACCGUCGUUGCUUUGGCGGGCCGCUGGGCCCAGCCCACCGCCGGCCCCGGCUGGCGCGUGCCCGCCAGAGGCCCUACAAACGCUGGAUAUCAGUGCCGUCUGAGUACACAUGUUAAUCGUUAAAACUUUUAGCAAUGGAUCUCUAGAUCGGAAG
rnacentral:misc_RNA from 1 species